AGGGCUAUAGCUCAGUUCGGUAGAGCAACUCGUUUACACACCGA
rnacentral:tRNA from 1 species